rnacentral:rRNA from 1 species
AUUGAACGCUGGCGGCAGGCCUAACACAUGCAAGUCGAGCGAGCGGCGGACGGGUGAGUAAUGUCGGGGAAACUGCCUGAUGGAGGGGGAUAACUACUGGAAACGGUAGGUAAUACGGCAUACAAUCCGAUUUGCCCAGAUGGGGUUAGCUAGUAGGUGGGGUAACGGCUCACCUAGGCGACGAUCCCUUGCCGACCUGAGAGGAUGACCAGCCACACUGGAACUGAGACACGGUCCAGACUCCUACGGGAGGCAGCAGUGGGGAAUAUUGGACAAUGGGCGCAAGCCUGAUGCAGCCAUGCCGCGUGAGUGAAGAAGGUCUUCGGGUUGUAAAGCACUUUCAGCGGGGAGGCGUUAUCCGCAGAAGAAGCACCGGCUAACUCCGUGCCAGCAGCCGCGGUAAUUC